rnacentral:rRNA from 1 species
AGUGAACGCUGGCGGUAGGCCUAACACAUGCAAGUCGAACGGCAGCACAGUAAGAGCUUUCUCUUACGGUUGGCGAGUGGCGGACGUGUGAUGAAUACAUCGGAAUCUACUUUUUCGUGGGUGAUAACGUAGGGAAACUUACGCUAAUACCGCAUACGACCUACGGUUGAAAGCAUUGGAUCUUCGCACCUUUCGCGUUUGUAUUAGCCGAUGUCUGAUUAGCUAGUUGGCUGGGUAAAUGCCCACCAAGGCGACGAUCCGUAGCUGGUCUGAGAGGAUGAUCAGCCACACUGGAACUGAGACACGGACCAGACUCCUACGGGAGGCAGCAGUGGGGAAUAUUGGACAAUGGGCGCAAGCAUGAUCCAGCAAUACCGCGUGGGUGAAGAAGGACUUCGGGUUGUAAAGCCCUUUUGUUGGGAAAGAAAAGCAGCAGGUUAAUACCCCGAUGGUCUGACGGUACCAAAAGAAUAAGCACCGGCUAACUUCGUG